CUCGAUUGAGACUUUCACAAACAGAGAAGAAAUACCCAACACGAACCCCAGCCAUCCUCCCACUCGAUCGAAACUUUCAGAAAUAGAAACAGAAAGGAAAUACCCAACACGAAACCCCAGCGCCCGUCGUCCAACCCUAUUCGGCCGCCCCAAGCCUCCCAUCUGAUUGGGACUCCUGAGGAUGGAAAAAGGGAGAGGAAAACAGGACGAAAACAGGGGAAAAAUCCACAAAAACAGAGGAAAGACAGAAAAACUUUAAGGUAAGACCUUUCCCCUGAUCACUUUUUUCUUUCCACUUCUUUUUCUAUUCAUUUCAUUAUUAUUGUUUUGGUAAGGAGAGCACUUGAGAGAGAUAGAGGGGUUUCUUAGGUUUCAUUUUGGGCUUUUGUCUCAAAUAUAUGGGAUUCCAGUCAUUUGUGGUGGUAUGAGUUGGUUCUUAAGAUGAAAACAAAGAAAAAAGCACCAGAAAAAUGAAAGAAAUCAAAAGUAAUACAUUUCCCCACAUAGAUUGAUAUAUUUGUUUUCCUUUCCCUUUUCUUCUUUUCAUUUCAUUUUCCUUUUUAGAGAUCUGUGGGGAAGGAGGACUUCCUAUAGGUAUGGAACUGAUAUACAUUUUGAUUUUUUCAUUGGGACUUCCUAUAAGCAUGAAACUGUAAACUUCUCUUGAAGUUGGCUGUCUUUAUGCAGAAGAAACGAUGUUCAAUUAAAGUACAUGUUUUAGUCUCUUAGACAACAACCACAUUUAACCUAUAUAGGCUUGACAUAUGCUGUUGGUGUAAUUGUUCUUUUUUAUCUUACUUUUUUUUAAUGGCAUCUAGAAAAAAAUUAAUCCAGGAACUUCCCUUGUCAUGUCAAGAUUACUGGAAGCAUUGUUUCAACUUAAGCAUAGCAUACCAUGAGAACUCUACAUACAGUGCCAUGUCAACCUGUGUUGGCUCUCAGUUAUGAUCUAGUUCAGCAAACCAUCAGUAGAUGCAGGGGGUGUAUGCCAUGCCAAUUGAACUUAAUUAAUAAUAAUGAUAUCCAUGUCUUUGCCUUUUUUCCUCCACAUUUUUGCCACUUUAAGUGCUCAGGUUCAAGAGACUAGGCCACGAAUGAAGAUGAAUAAUUAAUUUUUUGCAAUUAUAUUCAACAAUGAAGUAGACCAACAUCGUCACCACGGUAUCACUUGCGGCGACUUAUUUGUGUAGUUCUUGUGCUUGAGUUUUCUUAGGCUGUUUAUACGUUAAGAACAUUUUAUUUGUGUAGUUCUUGUGCUUGAUUUUUCUUUUAAUUUUUGAUACUAUUUUUGAGUAUAUGUUUGCUUAAAUUUUGUUAUUUAUCACUUGAUAGAAUAAGCAAAGAUGACGAACCGGAGUUGGAUGCAUCGUAGGAUUUAUAAGGGAAUGGUGACAGAUGAAUUUAAGAAUGGAGUUGCUAAGUUCAUUGAUAUUGCAAUUUCUAAUCCAUCGCACAUGAAAAAUAAAAAUUUUUUUUGCCCCUGUCUUAAGUGUAAGAAUAGAAAAUUCUUGAUACCCGAUGAAGUGACGGUUCAUCUCUAUAAGAAAGGCUUUGUUGAUGGCUAUCGGAUCUAGACGCUGCAUGGAGAAUCUUAUUCUAGAUCUGAGGAGUCUAAUCUUAAAACUGUUGAUAGAGGAGUGGCAGGUGGUAUGAACUCUUAUAUGGAUAUGGUUAUAGAUGCCACGAGGAUACCUGAAUUGAAUAAUAAUGCUAGGGAGUAUUUUGUUGAAGCUGCUAAGUUCUAUAAAUUGCUUAAAGAUGCGGACGAGUCACUGUGGGAGGGUUGCAGUAAGCAUACUAGGUUAUCAGCGGUCACUCAGUUGUUAAAUUUGAAAUCAGAGUUUAGUAUGAGCGAGAUAUGUUACAAUCAAAUACUUUUAAUAAUUAAAAGCAUGUUGCCUGAGGAUGAGAAGUUGCCUGAAGAUUUCUAUCAAUCAAAAAAAAUUGUGAAGGAAUUGGGACUGAGCUAUCAGAAGAUAGAUAUUUGCCCAAAUUUUUGCAUGUUGUAUUACAUAAAUAAUAGUCAGAAAAUAAACUGUUCUGUAUGUGGUCAUCCUUGAUUCAAGUCCAAUGAGGAGGUGGGCAAAAAAAAAUGUAAUGUACCACAUAUGGUAUUAUGAUAUUUUCCUCUUGCUUUUAGACUCCAACGAUUGUAUAUGUCAAGCAAGACUGCAAUGCAUAUGAGAUGGCAUAAGGAAGGGGUUCGGCGUGAUUAUGCUGUAAUUUCGCAUCCGGUGGAUGGGAAAGCAUAGAAGCAAUUUGAUUUGAUGCAUCCUGAGUUUUUAAGUGAUUGUCGGAAUAUUAGAUUAGGUCUUUGUACUGAUGGGUUCAACUCAUUCACAUCAAGCUCAACACCUUAUUCAUGCUAUCUUAUUUUUUUGACUCCGUAUAAUCUACCUCCUAGAAUGUGCAUAGAUAGAUGUAAUUUGUUCCUAACAUUGGUCAUUCCUGGUCCAAAGUCACCUGGUAAAAGCAUAGAUAUUUGCUUAAGACCAUUAAUCGAUGAAUUACAGAUGUUGUGGAAUGAGGGUGUUUGCACUUUUGAUGCACAUCGAAAAUAAAAUUUUAACAUGAAGGCUGCACUAAUGUGGAUAAUUAAUGAUUUUUCUGCUUAUGGGAUGUUAUCAGGAUGGAGCACACAUGAUAGACUUGCAUAUCCUUACUGUAUGAGAGAUACCAAGUCUUUCACCCUAAAGGGUGGCAGUAAGAAGUCAUGUUGGUUUGACUGUCAUCGGCGAUUUCUUCCCUCCAAUCAUACAUUUCAAAAAUAAAAAGAUGUAUUUACUAAAUUCACUAUGGAGAAAAAAGGUCCUAUACUUUGAUUGACUGGAAGGAAAGUGAAAGCUAGAGUAGAACAGUUUGAUCAAAUCACUUUUGGUACUAAGAGUGGUCCACAAAAAUUCAAUGAGUUUGGGACAGAGCAUAAUUGGCUUAAAAUAUAUUUUGAGAGUUGCCCUAUUGGUCCACAAACCUCAUUCGUCACAAUUUGGAUGUUAUGCAUAUUGAGAAGAAUGUGUUUGAUAAUGUCUUUAACACUGUGAUGGACAUUAAAGGCAAGACAAAAAAUACUUUGCAAGUUCGUUGUGAUUUAAAAUAGUUCUGCAAAUGAUCGGAACUUGAGUUAAAAGAAGUUGGAGGCAAAUUGGUUAAACCCAAGGCAUCCUUUGUCUUAGCACAAAACCAAAUUAAGGAUGUGUGUGAGUGGGUUAAACAAUUGAGGUUUCUAGAUGGAUAUGUUUCUAAUAUAGCUCGAGGUGUAAAUAUGGAUGAGGGCAAAAUACACGGUAUGAAAAGUCAUGAUUGUCAUGUAUUCAUGCAGAGGUUGAUAUCUUUGGCAUUUCGUGAUCUACUACCUAAGCCAAUAUAGGGGGCAUUGACUGAGCUCAGUCAAUUCUUCAGAUAUUUAUGUAUUUCUGAAUUUCAAGUCAGAUGGAAUUGCUUGAGAAAAGUAUGAUAGAGAUAAUUUGUAAGUUAGAGAAAAUAUUUUCUCCUACAUUUUUUGAUUCAAUGGAGCACCUAACCAUAUAUUUGCCGUAUGAGGCAAAGGUAGGAGGGCCUGUGCAAUAUAGAUGGAUGUAUCUUUUUGAGAGGUAAAUCUCUCUAUCAUUAUAUUCUUUAUUUCAUACAUGUCAUAAUAAGUAUGAAUUAAUUAAUCCUUUAUGCUUAUUGUUUUAGGUGCAUGCAUGAAUUAAAGAAAAAAGUUCGCAACAAAGCUAAGGUCGAAGGUUCUAUUAGCGAAGCGUAUAUAGUUGAAGAAAUUUUUAAUUUUUGCUUACUUUAUUUCGAACCUCAUAUUCAAACCCGACGAACUAAAGUCACUCGAAAUGAUGAUGGUGGACAUAUUGAUAUUCAAGAUCGCUUAUCUAUAUUCACAUAUUCGGGUCAUCCAUUAGAGAGAAGUUGGAAAUGGUAUUUGUCAGAUGAAGAGAUACGAGCUGCUGAGUUAUACGUUCUCCUAAAUUGCAUUGAGGUUGAAACUUAUAUUGAGUAAGUUUUCAAUCCAUCUUAUAUUUACUCAUUCUAAUCAUAUAGCUAUUUAUUUGUACUGGUUUAUGAAUGUUAAUAAGGUUGUUUUCGUAUAAAUUGCUAGAGAAUUUGAUAAUGAACUAUGAUAAAAUAAUCCUUUCAUUACUGAUGCUGAGGUUGAGAAAAUGCAUGAACUGCAUUUCCCACAGUGGAUAAAAGAGCUUGUAAGUUUUAGUUACAUAAUUUAAUUUAUUCAAAUGAAAUGAUACAAUAUGAUCCUGAAGCUUGUUAUACUGCUGUUUCUGUUUUAGGCCAACAGAAAUGAAAUUCAAAACCCAAAAGUUCAAAAGUUCAUCUAUGGCCCUUCUAAAGAAGUGUGAUGUUACAAUAGUUAUAUAGUGAAUAGUUAUCGAUUUCACACCCGUGCUUAUGGGCAGAAUAAGAGGAUAAAUAAUAGUGGUGUUUGUGAUCAGGGAAACAAUUAUAAUGAAAAUGAAUUAGAUUACUAUGGCAUUGUGGAAGAAGUGUUGGAAUGAAAAUGAAUUAGAUUACUAUGGCAUUGUGGAAGAAGUGUUGGAAUUGGAUUAUGUUGGACAUGGUAAUCGUGUAGUUAUUUUCAAAUGUCAUUGGUUUGACCCUUCACAAGGAGUUAGGAUUGAUAAAAAGUACAACAUUGUUGAUGUUAAUCACAAGUCAAAAUUGAAUACGUAUGAGCCAUUCAUAUUAGCAAGCCAGUCGCAACAAGUGUACUACACCAAGUAUCCGAAUUCAAAGAAUAAAGAAAGAAAUACUUGGUGGGCUGUUUGUAAAGUGAAAACCAAAUUGUUUCCCAAUGAGAUAUACGAAAAUGAGUCCAUGGAAGAGAGAUCAAAAGAUGAUGAUUAUUGCCAAGAUGACGAAGUAGGACCAUCUCACAUUGAUUCUGCCAUGGAUGAUAAUCUUAAUGAAGCCAUAAUCCUUAAUGAUGAAGAUCAAGCAAAAGAAGUUGAUCCAAGAGAGGUGUUAAGAUAUGUUGAUGAUAUUGAUGAUGGAGACAAGGUUGAGGAUAUAGAAGAAGAGGAAGAAGAGCUCCAACAUGAUCGUGAUGAUGGUGAGACGGGGGACAAUGUCGAGUUGGAACCAGAUGCUCCCAGUGACGAUGAUAUUAAUUUUGUUUAAUGUCUAGAUAUAUAAUGUUGUGUUUUUUUUAAAAAUUAUUUUCUUUAGUUUUUAUGUACUUAUAUGAGUUUUCAUGAUGUUUUUUUUAUAUAUUAAAUGCUAAUGUUUAUUUAUGACAAUUUAUCUUAAAUGUGAUGUUUGUUUCAGAAAAUAAUAUGAGGCGUUUGAAGAGUUUGAAGAAUUCUAAAAGAGGAAAGUUGGCUCCAAAAAGGGGGAUCACAAAAUAUUAUACGCAAACGCCGAAAGGGGGUGAUCAACAUCAAUCUGGAGAUGGAUCUCUACGAUGAUCUCCAUCUAACCAC
rnacentral:lncRNA from 1 species